rnacentral:rRNA from 1 species
AGAGUUUGAUCCUGGCUCAGGAUGAACGCUAGCGGCAGGCUUAACACAUGCAAGUCGAGGGGCAGCGCGGGGCGGCAACGUCCUGGCGGCGACCGGCGGAAGGGUGCGUAACGCGUGAGCGACAUGCCCGUUGCCCGGGGACAACCGGUGGAAACGCCGACUAAUCCCCGAUGGGACGGAGGCCCUCAUGGGUCUCUGUUGAAAGUUACGGCGGCGACGGAUUGGCUCGCGUCCGAUUAGCUUGUUGGCGGGGUAACGGCCCACCAAGGCUACGAUCGGUAGGGGUUCUGAGAGGAAGGUCCCCCACAAUGGAACUGAGACACGGUCCAUACUCCUACGGGAGGCAGCAGUGAGGAAUAUUGGUCAAUGGGCGGAAGCCUGAACCAGCCAUGCCGCGUGAAGGAAUAAGGCCCUAUGGGUCGUAAACUUCUUUAGACGCAGAGCAAUAAGGUCCACGAGUGGAUCGAUGAGAGUAUGCGUAGAAUAAGCAUCGGCUAACUCCGUGCCAGCAGCCGCGGUAAUACGGGGGAUGCGAGCGUUAUCCGGAUUCAUUGGGUUUAAAGGGUGCGUAGGCUGUGCGUCAAGUCAGGGGUGAAAUUCCGGGGCUCAACUCCGGGGCUGCCCUUGAUACUGUCGCGCUGGAGUGCGGAUGCCGCCGGAGGAAUGAGUGGUGUAGCGGUGAAAUGCUUAGAUAUCACUCAGAACACCGAUUGCGAAGGCAUCUGGCGAAUCCGUAACUGACGCUGAGGCACGAAAGCGUGGGGAUAGAACAGGAUUAGAUACCCUGGUAUUCCACGCCGUAAACGAUGAUGGCUAACCGCCGGCGACACACUGUCGGUGGCCAAGCGAAAGCGAUAAGCCAUCCACCUGGGGAGUACGUCGGCAACGAUGAAACUCAAAGGAAUUGACGGGGGCCCGCACAAGCGGAGGAACAUGUG